AUUAGAGUUUGAUCCUGGCUCAGGACAAACGCUGGCGGCGUGCCUAACACAUGCAAGUCGAACGCCCUGCGCAAGCAGGGAGUGGCGGACGGGUGAGUAACACGUGGGCUACCUACCUUUCGGUGAGGAAUACCGGCGAGAAAUCGCCGACAAUACCGCAUACGCUUCUUUCACGAGAAGCAAAGUCGCAAGACGCCGAAUGAUGGGCCUGCGUCCGAUUAGCCAGUUGGUGGGGUCACGGCUCACCAAAGCGACGAUCGGUAGCUGGUCUGAGAGGACGAUCAGCCACACUGGGAUUGAGAACGGCCCAGACUCCUACGGGGGGCAGCAGUGAGGAAUCUUCGUCAAUGGGGGCAACCCUGAACGAGCAACGCCGCGUGCAGGAGGACGGUUUUCGGAUCGUAAACUGCUUUUCUCGGGGACGACACAAAGGACGGUACCCGAGGAACAAGCCCCGGCUAACUACGUGCCAGCAGCCGCGGUAAUACGUAGGGGGCGAGCGUUGUCCGGAGUUACUGGGCGUAAAGCGCGCGCAGGCGGUCCAUUAAGUCUGGAGUGACAGUUCCCAGCUUACCUGGGAAAGGUCUUCGGAAACUGGUGGACUUGAGGGACUCAGAGGGAGACGGAAUUCCAGGUGGAGCGGUGAAAUGCGUAGAGAUCUGGAGGAACACCAAAGGCGAAGGCAGUCUCCUGGGAGUUUCCUGACGCUCAGGCGCGAAAGCCAGGGGAGCGAACGGGAUUAGAUACCCCGGUAGUCCUGGCCGUAAACGAUGACCACCAGGCGUGGGAGGGAUCGACCCCUUCCGUGCCGGCGCUUACGCUUUGAGUGGUCCGCCUGGGGAGUACGGUCGCAAGAUUAAAACUCAAAGGAAUUGACGGGGACUCGCACAAGCAGCGGAGCGUGUGGUUUAAUUCGAUGCAACGCGAAGAACCUUACCAAAGCUUGACAUGCACUCGCACCAGCCGUAAUGGGCUCUUCCUUCGGGACGGGUGUGCAGGUGCUGCAUGGCUGUCGUCAGCUCGUGUCGUGAGAUGUUGGGUUCAGUCCCGCAACGAGCGCAACCCCUGUCGCUAGUUGAAUGUUCUAGCGAGACCGCCGUCUCAAAACGGAGGAAGGUGGGGAUGACGUCAAGUCAGCACGGCCCUGACGCUUUGGGCGACACACACGCUACAAUGGCCGGGACAAUGGGUUGCCAACCCGCGAGGGGGAGCCAAUCCCACAAACCCGGUCUCAGUUCGGAUUGUAGGCUGCAACUCGCCUGCAUGAAGUCGGAGUUGCUAGUAACCGCAAGUCAGCACAUUGCGGUGAAUACGUUCCCGGGUCUUGUACACACCGCCCGUCACACCACGAAAGUUGACAACACCUGAAGCCGCCGGGCUAACCCGCAAGGGGGGCAGGCGUCGAGGGUGGGGCCAAUGAUUGGGGUGAAGUCGUAACAAGGUAGCCGUAAU
rnacentral:rRNA from 1 species